UACGGAGGGAGCAAGCGUUGUCCGGAAUCAUUGGGCGUAAAGCGCGCGUAGGUGGCUUCGUAAGUCCGCUGUGAAAGUCAAAGGCUCAACCUUUGAAAGCCGGUGGAUACUGCGGAGCUAGAGUCCGGAAGAGGCGAGUGGAAUUCCUGGUGUAGCGGUGAAAUGCGCAGAUAUCAGGAGGAACACCAAUGGCGAAGGCAGCUCGCUGGGACGUGACUGACGCUGAGACGCGAAAGCGUGGGGAGCAAACAGG
rnacentral:rRNA from 1 species